rnacentral:rRNA from 1 species
AUUGAACGCUGGCGGCAUGCCUUACACAUGCAAGUCGAACGGUAACAGGUCUUCGGAUGCUGACGAGUGGCGAACGGGUGAGUAAUACAUCGGAACGUGCCUAGUAGUGGGGGAUAACUACUCGAAAGAGUGGCUAAUACCGCAUGAGAUCUACGGAUGAAAGCAGGGGAUCGCAAGACCUUGUGCUACUAGAGCGGCGGAUGGCAGAUUAGGUAGUUGGUGGGAUAAAAGCUUACCAAGCCGACGAUCUGUAGCUGGUCUGAGAGGACGAUCAGCAACACUGGGACUGAGACACGGCCCAGACUCCUACGGGAGGCAGCAGUGGGGAAUUUUGGACAAUGGGCGAAAGCCUGAUCCAGCAAUGCCGCGUGCAGGAUGAAGGCCUUCGGGUUGUAAACUGCUUUUGUACGGAACGAAAAGCCCCGGGUUAAUACCCUGGGGUCAUGACGGUACCGUAAGAAUAAGCACCGGCUAACUACGUGCCAGCAGCCGCCGUAA